GACGCCUGCAACACCAGAAGCAUCGCAAGCGCGUUGCCGACCCUAUACCCAAUCCCCCCCAGGAGCUCUGGUCACCUUACUCACCAACAGGAACACAAUACUGCUUGAAAACAGUAUUAUUUAGCUGUGGUCUUCUGUAAGGUCGAGGUACUACACCAGUCGGGCUGCUCCAUAUUUUGAGCAGGAAAUUCCUGCUGUGCCCUACCUCAGUGGUGGAUUAAGCUCUAAUCCUUCUCCUACAUGGGGAAAGAGGCCUAUGCCCAGCAGUGGCAUAUUACAGGCUGAGGC
rnacentral:misc_RNA from 1 species